UACGUAGGCAGCGAGCGUUGUUCGGAAUUACUGGGCGUAAAAGUGUGUAUGAGCGGUGCUCUAAGUUCGGUGUGAAAUCUCCUGGCUCAACUGGGAGGGUGCGCCGGAAACUGGAGUGCUUGAGCGUGGGAGAGGAAAGCGGAAUUCCUGGUGUAGCGGUGAAAUGCGUAGAUAUCAUUUGGAACGCCAAUGGUGAAAACAGGUAGCUGGGGCUGUGCUGACACUGAGACACGAAAGCCAGGGGAGCGAACGGG
rnacentral:rRNA from 1 species